UGACUCGGGGCCACAUAGGCAGCAAGGAGCAAGGGGCCUGAGCAAGAGGUACCAUAUUUACCUCAGUGUGUGAAGAUCAUUUGCCCAGGCUGGGGCAGGAGAGAACCUGAGGCCCUUGCAGGAGGUGCCCAGGGGCCUGGCCUUCCUGCACCUUCAGAGAGUGGAACAUGGCUGCACUCUGGCUGCUGCUGCUGGUCCUCAGUCUGCACUGUAUGGGGGCAGCCACAUCUCUAACACCAUGAGGAAUAUUUUAAAGAACAAAGGGUUCAUAGGAAGACAGCCAGGCAGAGCUCAGGUGCAGUAGCUUCUGCCCCCAAAAGGUGGCUUUGUGGCUCAUGUGGAAAGCACGUGCGUGCUGAAUGAUGCUGGGACCCCACAGGACUUCACAUACUGUGUUUCCUUCAACAAAGAUCUGCUGGCCUGCUGGGAUCCAGAUGUGGGAAAAAUAGUCCCCUGUGAAUUUGGGGUGCUGUCUAGAUUGGCUGAAAUAAUUUCAAAUAUCCUCAACGAACAGGAGAGCCUUAUUCAUCGCUUGCAAAACGGGCUUCAGGACUGUGCCACCCACACCCAACCUUUCUGGGAUGUGCUGACCCACAGAACGAGAGCGCCAUCUGUCCGAGUAGCCCAAACCACACCUUUUAACACAAGGGAGCCCGUGAUGCUGGCCUGCUACGUCUGGGGCUUCUAUCCAGCGGAUGUGACCAUCACAUGGAUGAAGAAUGGGCAGCUUGUCCCUUCCCACAGCAACAAGGAGAAGACGGCUCAGCCCAAUGGAGACUGGACAUACCAGACAGUCUCCUACCUAGCCCUAACCCCUUCCUACGGGGACGUCUACACCUGCGUGGUUCAGCACAGCGGGACCUCUGAGCCCAUCCGCGGGGACUGGACACCUGGGCUGUCCCCCAUCCAGACAGUGAAGGUCUCUGUGUCUGCAGCCACCCUGGGCCUGGGCUUCAUCAUCUUCUGUGUUGGCUUCUUCAGAUGGCGCAAGUCUCAUUCCUCCAGCUACACUCCUCUCCCCGGAUCCACCUACCCAGAAGGACGGCACUAGAAAGCAGAACCCAGAACCAAGGAGAUUCAGACUCCUGAGGAUUCCUUCAUGCCCCCAAUAUCUUCAGGACACCCCAUUUUCUUGUGUCAUACUGCCUCUAUUCAGUUUCCCUUCCCAAUGUAAUUUUUUUUUUGUUUUUUGUUUUUUUGAGACAGGGUUUCUCUGUAUAGCCCUGGCUGUCCUGGAACUCACUUUGUAGACCAGGCUGGCCUCAAACUCAGAAAUCCACCUGCCUCUGCCUCCAGAGUGCUGGGAUUAAAGGCGUACGCCACCAUGCCCGGCUUCCGAUGUGUAACAGCUUGGGAGGUAUUCAUAAUGAAGUCUGUCUCAGGUGUUUUCUGAAGUGAGCUGAUCUAAGGAGGGGGUUCAAGGUCUUCUGAGAGCCCCUCCUUGUCACAAGGGCACCGUGUCAUAGGUGGUCACUAAGAAAUAAACUGGUGGAAUUCCUGGCUUCCCCC